AACGAACGCUGGCGGCAGGCUUAACACAUGCAAGUCGAACGCAUCGCAAGAUGAGUGGCAGACGGGUGAGUAACGCGUGGGAAUCUACCCAUCUCUGCGGAAUAGCUCUGGGAAACUGGAAUUAAUACCGCAUAAGCCCUACGGGGUAAAGAUUUAUCGGGGAUGGAUGAGCCCGCGUUGGAUUAGCUAGUUGGUGGGGUAAAGGCCUACCAAGGCGACGAUCCAUAGCUGGUCUGAGAGGAUGAUCAGCCACAUUGGGACUGAGACACGGCCCAAACUCCUACGGGAGGCAGCAGUGGGGAAUAUUGGACAAUGGGCGCAAGCCUGAUCCAGCCAUGCCGCGUGAGUGAUGAAGGCCUCAGGGUUGUAAAGCUCUUUCACCGAUGAAGAUAAUGACGGUAGUCGGAGAAGAAGCCCCGGCUAACUUCGUGCCAGCCGCCGCCGUAA
rnacentral:rRNA from 1 species